CUGGGCCCAUUUCAGCUCAAGUCCAAGCAUUCAAGCCAAGCCAGCUUGAGUGCGAGCCAGCUCAGUUUUGAGCUGGCUCAUACUUCCCCAUCACUCAGCUGCUGGGCCCCGCUUCCUCAGGGGCUCAGGUACAUUUAAUUGUCCAAUUGUAGCUAUGCCCCUGGCUAGAGUAUCCUCAACAGAUGGCUGUCCAGCCUCUGCCUAAAGCACUGUGACAAAAUAGUCUCCAUUGUUGAACCACUCUUCCCAUCAAUAAGUUUUUAUUAAUUCCCAACCGAAAUCUACCCUUUUGUAACUUUAUACCAUUAAAUUAAGCUCUCUUGGACAGCAGAAAAGUCUUUGACCUCUUCUGUGUGAUAGACCCUGGUAACUGAAAAAUGUUAUCAUUUCCCCCUUCUGUCUUCUGUUCUCCAGGAGAAACAUACCCAGUUCCUUCAACCUUUUUUCAUAGUGCUUGUUUUCCAGUCUACUGACCACCUUCAUUGCCACCAUCUGAACCCAUUCCAGUAUGUCUUCCUUCUUCUUAAAGUGCAGUGCCCAGACCUCUACAUAGUAUUCAAGAUGAUGUCUGACUGGUGCAGGCUAUAUUGGAAAUAUGUUUUUCAUCACUUGGAGAUUAUGGUUCUACUAAUGAAGUCUAACAUUGCAAAAGCCUUUUUAGCAACUGCAUUACACUGCUGACUCUGUGCUGAUCAGACCUCACGUGAAAUCUUGUUUCCAGUUCUGGGCUCCACAUUUUAAGAAGGACUUGUAUAAACUGGAAUGGAUUCAAAGAAGAGCAACAAAGAUGGUAAGGGGUGUGGAAACUGUCAAGCCUGGAGAAGAGAUGACUAAGUAAAGAUAAAUAUGAUUGCCCUCUUCAAAUAUUGGAUUUGUUCUCUGUUGCUCCUGAGGGUAGCACUAAGUGUGUGCACAGUUGGUCCAGUGCUCUCUGAGGCAGUGGGGGGGGGGUCUGUGGAGGUUCCCCUUCCCCCUGCCAGCCUCCCCUUGGUCCAAAACUGGACAAUAUAGCCAUUCUUCAGUCCUUCCCCUCCAACAUGGUGGCCAUUUCGGAAGCCACCACACCUGCGCUAUGGAUGGCCUGGCAUGACCCAGGCCAUGCAGAGGCCCACAGGGGGUGGUUCGGUUUGACUCUGAACUGUUGAACCUGUUUGCACAUCCCUAGGUAGCACCAGCCCAAUGGACUGAAAUUAUAAGGAGGCAAAUUUGAGAUAGACAUUAGGAGGAAUUCCCUAACUGGUAGAGAUUUUUGACUGUGGAAUAGCCCGCCUCACCUAGUGGUGGGCUAUCCUUCUAUAGAGGUUUCUAAACAAAGAUUGGAAAGCGAUCUGUCAGAGAAGCUGUAGAGUUUGCUGCUCUGAGCAGGGGAUUAGACUAGAAGGCAUUCAUGGUCCCUCCCAACUAAAAAAAGAAUUAUAUGAUUCAAUGGCACAUGUUUGUGGUGUUAAUCCAUUCCUUGAUCCAGGCCAGCUUUUGAAUGGGGCUUUAGUUGCUCAUAUUCCACUCCUGGAGUAGAGGUGGGGUUAAGAAAACAGACAGCAGCAAGAGCAUGGAAAAGCAGUCUGCACCUGCCUCUGUGUACAUAAUAUUUCAUUAAACUAUGAAUAUUCCUGAUUCCACUCCACUGCCUUGUCCUUGCACACAGCAACUCUUUCCCUUGGAUUCUACAGUGUUCAGCUUGUGAUUGAUUGCAAUCCUAAGAGCAUUUUCACAUAUGCAACUGCCAAACCAAGUAACCCAUGCAUUUGAUUUUGUUUAAAUUAAGUGCCAAACUGUGCAUUUGUCUCUGUCAGAUUUCAUUUUGUUAGUUUCAGCCCAUUUUCACAUUUAGUCAAGGCCAUUUUGAAUUCUACAUGCAAGGGGUGUAUAAAUAGUUCCAAGAGGUGUGCAUAAGAAUGAAUAGGAGAACAGACGUUGAGAUACAAAUCCAUCUUGCAUUUUUGAAGGUCUCCACUUGUAUUACUAUAUUUUCAAGUAGUCUUUUAUCAGAUAUACUAACCUGGAAAAACUAAUUCGUUAGUUUCAAAGGGAAAGAGCAAAGCUUCUCACUGCUUGUCCAUCGCUGCAUCAAGAAUUGCUAUAGGAUAUUUGGUAGUGUGCAUAUGUAUGUGUAUACACACACACACAUGUGCGUGACACUACUCAUCUUGGAGGGUGUACACCAUGCAGCUGGUUCUCCAACUGCAGCAAUAAUUUUCAAUUAUUCCUCUAUUUAAAGUUAAAUUCAACAGCUGCAUUCACAUCACAUGCAAUAAAGCUCAGCUGCCAGAUUACAGUACAUUUGCAAUCAGGAAAUGGCUCAUUUGAUGGUACUUUUUUUCCUUACUAAAGGACCAUUGACUGAGAAUAAUACAGGACCCACCUCUGCAGCACAUGGAUAAUACUAGGGAUGAGUGGAUUUCCCCUGUUCCAUUCCAAUUUUGUUCCAUGCACUGGCUCUGCUCCAUAUGACACCCUGCUGACUUAAGUUUGAGAAUGUCUACAAUUAAUUCUGGAAUGAGUACACUGUAUAGAGUUUGUAACAUCUUUCAUUUUCUAUUCAUGUUAAUUUCCAUUCAAACUUCUUAUUCAUGUGCCCACCGCCCACCGACCCCUUGUUCUGGUUACUCAUGUGCCUAAUUGCUUGUGCACAUUAAUUAAACAUUAUGCAAAACAGUAUAUUGAUGUGAUUUUGCGCACAAUUGCUACGAGAUGUGCAGUGUGUUAAAUCCAUGUGUACAAUAACUUGUGUACAUCACAUGUCGCAGAUACAAAAUGCUUACUCCAAUUUGGUCUAUUUGUUUCAAAAGUGAAUGCAAUCCCUGAAUACUGGUUGGUAGGGAUAAUCAUCAUGCGAACUGUUGCCUUCAUGUUUGUAGCUUUCCCAGAGACAUGUUGCUAGUUGCCCUUGCAGACAGAUGUCAUGAGGUGGAGGCAGGGGUUAAGGGAAAGACAAUGUGUCCUGGAGAAAAGACAGCAAAGAGGUCAUAUGGGGUCACUACCCAUGCUCAUAUAGUCUUUAGGUGAGCUGAGCCCACAGGAGGGAAUAAAUUGUGCCAUGGGAUUUGUUGUAGUUACUUUACUCUUUCUUUCUUUCUUUCUUUCUUUCUUUCUUUCUUUCUUUCUUUCUUUCUUUCUUUCUUUCUUUCUUUCUUUCAAUCAUUCAUGAUCCAGUAACAGUACACUUUAAGGAGAACAAAUCUAUUUCAAUGGUGAAACGUAACUGGAAUAUUUAUGAUCAUGGCCAUCCUUAAGCAACUUGAUCAAUGGCAUUUUGAUUUAGGUUUGUAUAAAGCACUAAGUGUUUGAUGUAUUCCAGUUCCAGUUAUUUGAUUAAGCAGUGAACAGUUGCUGACCUGGAUUGUCAAGAUUUUCCGUAAGUACUCAAAUAAAUUAAUACAGAUUUGUUUUGAUAACAAUUGCUGCCUCCAUGACAUUGUCUCCAAAGUUAUGUUAAUUUGCUGCCAUAGGGGUAAAGCUGAAUGAUUUCAGAGCUUAGCAAGAGACUUUACAUAAACUUUUUUAAAAAAUAACAUGUUUGCUCUCUAAUGCCAGGUAGCUCACACAUACGAAGAAACAUCAAAGCAAUGCAGCAAAAAGAAAGAGAUUUGUUUGAAACUCAGGAUUCUUAAAUCUUUGAAAUUAAGCCUUCCUAGUAGAUUUUCUGAUCCCUAACCUAAUCCUCACUUAAUUCUUGUUCACUUUUUGACUUAGCAUUGUGCAGGGGGAGGGGGAGACAUUUCAAUAUGAGAUCAAAAACUAAAUCAUGGUUCCUCUUUUUCAUGUGGUGCAUUUUUCCUCUUUAUCACGUGGCUGGGGGAUGAAUAAGAGCCAAGGAUGUAGCAAGGUUGGAGUGGGCCCUGGGACAAAAUGUGAAGAUAGGCUUUAGCCCCACUCUGCCUUCUUCAGAGAGGCAUGAGGUAGAGCGUAAAGAGCAAGCUGCUGCCCUGUAUACAUACAUCUACCCUAUAAUUUUUUAACAUCUACACAGCAUGUGCAUGCACAUGUAUGUGCCUUUGCUUUGUGUGAUUGUCUGUGGUUUGUGUGUGCCUGAGAGUUUGGGUUUCUGCUGGUGUGUUCAUGUGUGUUGUGUAAGCACAUGAGUUUUUCUGUGCACAUAUGCUUGUGUUUGGGCUGUGUGUAUGUGUGCAUGUGCGUAUGUAUGCACAUAUGUGCAGAUGUGUGUCUGUGAGUGCAUGGGUGGUUGCGCACAUGUGUUUGCACAAUUUCUUGUGCAUGCAUGUUUGUAUGAAUGUGUUCACAUGUUUCUGCAUAUGUGCUUUUGUGUUAUAUGCACAUUUGUAUUUGUGUUGCAUGCAUGUGUUUAUAUGUGAGUGUUUGUGUGUUGGGCUUCCCUGCCUGGUUAGGCUGCAUGUGAGAACAGCCUCCUUGACUUUUUGAAGAAAAAAAAAUGGUAUAGAAAACUUUAACAAAUAAAUAAAAUAUAAUUCUAGACUGAACAAAUGGUCUUUAAAAUACUUUUCCUCUGAUCCUUCCCCAAUGUUUUCAGGAAGCUGACAGCAGCAGACACAAAGCAACUGGAAAAUGCAAUAAUUAAUAUGUUAUGUUUGCAUAAUAGGCUAAUUAGGCUGACCACCUAAUUAAUCAUGACAGGUUUGUGAAACUUGAAUAUGGCAACCCUGCAAUCACACCCUGACAUGAUCAUUAGUACUAGUUUCAGAAGGAGAUUUCUCAGCAGGUGUUUCCAUGUUACGCUUCAAGAAAUUGAGCCUGUUUUCAUGACCAUAUGGGAGUGGGCUGGAGGAGGGGCACAUUCAUACCCUGUGUCUCUUAAAGCUCCUGGCUGGUUUUACUUACCCAACCUCCACACCACUGGAGUAUUUUUUUUUCUUCCAGGAGGAAAGAAAAAUCCAAGCUGGGUCUCCCAGUAUCCCACAGUGAAGCAAGAGCAGUGGAGAGGCAUCCCCUUAGUAUAGGCAAAACAAAAUAAAACCCGUUCGGAUUCAACAAUAUAUCAGAACAUUUUAAAAAAGAAUCUAAAUAAGAAGCCCUUAGUACAGGACCAGCUUUACUCUCCCUGGACCCGUUCCCCACCUGAUACUAUGGUUAACAUGGCUGCCAGGAACCUGGAAACAGUUUAAAAUGUGCCAGUGCUGCAGACAACCAAAACAAACGGAUAAUGACUAUGGUGUAUUUUACUAUCUUAGAAGAUCAGCGUGGACAAUCUACAAUCUACAAACAAUCUACACACUUUUAAAUGGUUGCUUUUCUCAGGUUAAAAAUAAAAUAUAAAACAUAAAGUAAGACUGUUAAUUGAAAUGCUUUUUUAAAAGAUCGUCCACUAGAGGACAGCAAAACACAACACAACACACACACACACACACACACACACAUACACACACUUCUUAUUUAAAAUAAUGUGUAUAUGAUACAAAUAUGCUACACGCAGUUUUUAAAAUGUACACUAGAUGGCAGCAAAGCACAUCUUAAAAGCAUUUCCGAAUAAACUGCGCGGGACUAUGUAUUUUAAUAUCUGGACAUGCACGUGGUAUACAUAUCUUAUUAAAAUGCAAAAUGAGAGCCAGAGUGGUGUAGUUGUUAGAGUGAUGGACUAGGACCAGGGAGACCCACGUUCAAAUCCCCAUUCAGCCAUGAAACUAGCUGGGUGACUCUGGGCCAGUCACUUCUCUCUCAGCCUAACCUACUUCACAGGGUUGUUGUGAAAGAGAAACUCAAGUAUGUAGUACACCGCUCUGGGCUCCUUGGAGGAAGAGUGGGAUAUAAAUGUAAAAAUAAUAAUAAUAAAACACUUUUACACAUUUUCUGUAAUUCUUGCUGCUGAGAGUUGUUAUAAUCUAGGAGAGGUGAGAACAUGGUUUUUAGUGUUGCAGAAUUUCUCCCUUACCCCCAACGCACACUAAAACUGUUUUUUAAAAAUUAAUCACAGACCUGAUUCAUUAUUCAAAUUUGGGUCCAUAUUUGUAGUCUGCUAUGAAUAGAAAAUGAGAGGAAAACCUUCAUUACAAGAGAGAGAAAGAAAUUCUACACACACACACACACCUGCAUUGAAUAAAAAAAGCUGGUAUAAAAGUUGUACUUACCGCACACUGGGGCUAUCCCCAUGAUCAGGCAAAAUCGGGCUAGGGGAGCCUAGCCCAAUUUUGCCUGAUUGUGGGAGCCACCAGGCUCGCAGGUGAGCCCAGUGGCUUCCUGGCGGUUAACCCGCCAAACUACCCCUCCCCUUAAACCGGGUUUGCGGAGCGAGCACUCCGCAAACCUGGUUCUUAAAAUCGUGAGUAGGCACAGCACAGCUCCAAGGCGUGGCUACUCAUGAGGAGACCCCCGACCGAGAGCCUCAAAAUUAGCCUCCUGGCUUGGGGGUCUCUCCAGUAUGCCCAGCGCACUUGUGUGGGGCACACCGAAGCUUCCAGGGGCCAUGCGGCCCCUGAUCCUCCCAGCCCCCGCUGGCUCCUUCAUGGAGCCACCAGUUGUGUGGCUGGCCAAUCCUGCCGCCCAGGGCUGCCGCUCUGCUCAUCUGCAGGAAGAGCGGGCUUAGUCCACUCUCCCCGCUUACCUUUGCAAAGUGGGUCUCACUGAUCGUGAGACCUGGCUCACUUGGUUGGAAUCAUGAUGGGUUGUGUGAUGUUUGUCAGCAAACACUUGUGGAUAUUUAUACCGUUUGAAGCUCAUACUUUUAAUUACAUCAGAGGAUGUCUGUUUGGACAGCCUUACCAAAUUUUCACACACACACACACACACACACACACACACCCAUUGACAUGCAGAGGCCCUGAGAAAAUAUACCUAACAGCAUGACAGCCUAAGGAAUUAAUUUGUUUUGCAUAAUCCUAACUUUAUAUUUGAAGUUAAAAGAUGUUCAUGUUGAUUACUGUGAUAUAAGAAAUUAUAUUUACUUGAGAAAGGGGUGACCAUUUUAUCAUUGUGAUGUUGAUUAGUGUGAUAUAAGAAAUUAUAACUACUUGAAAGGAGAGCAACCAUUUUAUCAGUGUAUAUAAUUACUUAGCAUAUUGUGCAUCACAAUAUGUUUCAUAUUAAGAAGAAAAUGUAGAAAGUUCAUUUUCCUGACCUGAACCAAAACUCUAAAGAUAAGCUAUACUCCACAUUUUUUCCCCAGCCCUACCAAAUUAUAAAGCCCCCCCCCCGAGAAACCAAGGGGUCCCCCCACCCAAGAAACCAUUUUCAUGUAUUCAUCAGAAAAGUUUAAUAUGGUCUAUUUAAAAUUACCUUUUUUCCCGUGUGCAAUAACAUAUGUGGAUCACAAUCAUUUCUCAGGAUUUGAUGUAAGCAUUUAGAAGCUGCUUUCACAUAAUCCUAACUUUAUACUUGAAGCUCAAAGAUGUUCGUGUUGAUUAGUGUGAUACAAAAUGUCCCCUUAAUCCAUCCUCCUAAACUGGCGCAUAAACAUGUUGCCAUUUUGCUGUACGCCGAUGACAUGGUCAUUAUGUCUUUGACACCUAUUAGCUGCUGCAUACUUAAGUGAAAUCACUUUUCUUAAGUUCAUGCGGGCUCUAUUUCUAGCACGUUUAAAUGUGCUACCUACAGCAAUACUUUAUGGGAGAUCCAGCAGGGUCCCUUAUGCAUCUUGCCUUUGCCCUUGUGGGUCAGGUGUUACUGCAACUACUGAACACGUCAUUUUAUAUUGCGACCGCUACAAGGGUGAUCGUUCAAAUCUUACCUUGCCAUAUCUUGGGAUGUUCUCGGGUCAUUCAGAUGAAUGCCAACUAAAUCUUUUAUUGUCCAAUUUUAACCACAAAUUUACCAAUUCAGCGGCUAAAUUUUGUUAUAUUUUAUGUAAAUUAUGUUAUUUUGUGUGGAUGAUGCUUCUGGUCAAUGACUGAAAUAAACUGACUGAGUGUGAUACAAGAAAUUAUAUCUACUUGAAAAGAGGAUGACCAUUUUAUCAUUGUGAUGUUUAGUGUGAUAUAAGGAAUUAAAUCUACAUGAAAGGAGAGCAACCAUUUUAUCAGUGUAUUUAACUAGUUAGCGUAUUGUACAUUACAAUGUGUUUCAUAUUAAGAAGAAAGUUGAACUUUGAUUAUUUUGCCAUGUUAUAGAGUCAUGAAGUUUUUAUAAUAAAAAGAGGUCUAAGGAGCUCUCA